GCUUGGCUAGCUCAGUUGGUAGUGCAUAGGCCUUGUGAGCUCAGGAUUGUGGUUUGAGCUCAAUGCUGAGUG